rnacentral:rRNA from 1 species
AAGCGCUUAUGACCAGACUUGGACUUGGUUGAUCAUCCUGGGUUCUCCCUGGUGCACUCUUCCAGUUCAGGCCAGCAUCAGUUUGCUUCGGGGGAUAAAGGUUUCGGGAAUGUGGCUCCUCCGGGAGUGUUAUAGCCCGUUGCGCAAUACCCUGGAGCAGACUGAGGUUCGCGCAUCUGCAAGGAUGCUGGCGUAAUGGUCAUCAGCGA